rnacentral:rRNA from 1 species
CCGUCCGUCUCAGGCCACGAGCCCUCGCA